rnacentral:sRNA from 1 species
GCUGGGCAUGGUGGCACUUGCCUCUAAUCCCUACUACUUUGGAGGCUGAGGCUGGAGGAUCAUAAGUUCAAAGACAUCUUGGGCAACUUGUGUGACCCUGUCUCAA